UAAAGAUCAAAAAAACUAAACUAUAACAGUUCCUCCAUAUCUAGGACCAGCCUGUAGAUUGAGGAUCUAGGUCCAGCCUGUAGAUUGACGAUCUAGGACCAGCCUGUAGAUUGAGGAUCUAGGACCAGCCUGUAGAUUGAGGACCUAGGACCAGCCUGUAGAUUGAGGACUUAGGACCAGCCUGUAGAUUGAGGAUCUAGGACCAGCCUGUAGAUUGAGGAUCUAGGUCCAGCCUGUAGAUUGAGGAUCUAGGUCCAGCCUGUAGAUUGAGGAUCUAGGACCAGCCUGUAGAUUGAGGAUCUAGGUCAAGCCUGUAGAUUGAGGAUCUAGGACCAGCCUGUAGAUUGAGGAUCUAGGACAAGCCUGUAGAUUGAGGAUCUAGGACCAGCCUGUAGAUUGAGGAUCUAGGACCAGCCUGUAGAUUGAGGAUCUAGGACCAGCCUGUAGAUUGAGGAUCUAGGACCAGCCUGUAGAUUGAGGACCUAGGACCAGCCUGUAGAUUGAGGACCUAGGACAAGCCUGUAGAUUGAGGAUCUAGGACUAGCCUGUAGAUUGAGGACCAAGGACCAGCCUGUAGAUUGAGG
ensembl:lncRNA